GUUGGGAACUAGAUGUGGGGGCCAUUCCACGGCUUCCGUGUCGCAGCUAACGCAUUAAGUUCCCCGCCUGGGGAGUACGGCCGCAAGGCUAAAACUCAAAGGAAUUGACGGGGGCCCGCACAAGCGGCGGAGCAUGCGGAUUAAUUCGAUGCAACGCGAAGAACCUUACCAAGGCUUGACAUAUACAGGAAAAGUGCAGAAAUGUACUCCCCGCAAGGUCUGUAUACAGGUGGUGCAUGGCUGUCGUCAG
rnacentral:rRNA from 1 species